GAUGAACGCUGGCGGCGUGCCUAAUACAUGCAAGUCGAGCGAACAGAUAAGGAGCUUGCUCCUUUGACGUUAGCGGCGGACGGGUGAGUAACACGUGGGUAACCUACCUAUAAGACUGGGAUAACUUCGGGAAACCGGAGCUAAUACCGGAUAAUAUUUCGAACCGCAUGGUUCGAUAGUGAAAGAUGGUUUUGCUAUCACUUAUAGAUGGACCCGCGCCGUAUUAGCUAGUUGGUAAGGUAACGGCUUACCAAGGCGACGAUACGUAGCCGACCUGAGAGGGUGAUCGGCCACACUGGAACUGAGACACGGUCCAGACUCCUACGGGAGGCAGCAGUAGGGAAUCUUCCGCAAUGGGCGAAAGCCUGACGGAGCAACGCCGCGUGAGUGAUGAAGGUCUUCGGAUCGCAAAACUCUGUUAUUAGGGAAGAACAUACGUGUAAGUAACUGUGCACGUCUUGACGGUACCUAAUCAGAAAGCCACGGCUAACUACGUG
rnacentral:rRNA from 1 species